rnacentral:rRNA from 1 species
AGUGAACGCUGGCGGUAGGCCUAACACAUGCAAGUCGAACGGCAGCACAGUAAGAGCUUGCUCUUACGGGUGGCGAGUGGCGGACGGGUGAGGAAUACAUCGGACUCUACUUUUUCGUGGGGGAUAACGUAGGGAAACUUACGCUAAUACCGCAUACGCCCUACGGGUGAAAGCAGGGGAUCUUCGGACCUUGCGCGAUUGAAUGAGCCGAUGUCGGAUUAGCUAGUUGGCGGGGUAAAGGCCCACCAAGGCGACGAUCCGUAGCUGGUCUGAGAGGAUGAUCAGCCACACGGGAACUGAGACACGGUCCAGACUCCUACGGGAGGCAGCAGUGGGGAAUAUGGGACAAUGGGCGCAAGCCUGAUCCAGCCAUACCGCGUGGGUGAAGAAGGCCUUCGGGUUGUAAAGCCCUUUUGUUGGGAAAGAAAAGCAGCAGGUUAAGACCCCGCUGUUCUGACGGUACCCAAAGAAUAAGCACCGGCUAACUUCGUG